rnacentral:tRNA from 1 species
AAUUAAUGAUCUUGAAUAAGUUUAUGUUUUGAAAACAUAUUAAAGAAAUUUUUAAAUUUUCUAUUAAUUU